CGCCUGGGGAGUGCGGCCGCAAGGUUAAAACUCAAAUGAAUUGACGGGGGCCCGCACAAGCGGUGGAGCAUGUGGUUUAAUUCGAUGCAACGCGAAGAACCUUACCAGGUCUUGACAUCCUCGGAACUUGGCAGAGAUGCCUUGGUGCCUUCGGGAGCCGAGUGACAGGUGCUGCAUGGCCGUCGUCAGCUCGUGUCGUGAGAUGUUGGGUUAAGUCCCGUAACGAGCGCAACCCUUGUCCUUAGUUGCCAGCACGUCAUGGUGGGAACUCUAGGGAGACUGCCGGUGACAAACCGGAGGAAGGUGGGGACGACGUCAGGUCAUCAUGGCCCUUACGACCUGGGCUACACACGUGCUACAAUGGCUGGUACAGAGGGUUGCGAAGUCGCGAGGCGAAGCUAGUCCCUUAAAGCCAGUCGUAGUCCGGAUCGGAGUCUGCAACUCGACUCCGUGAAGUCGGAAUCGCUAGUAAUCGCGGAUCAGAAUGCCGCGGUGAAUACGUUCCCGGGCCUUGUACACACCGCCCGUCACACCAUGGGAGUGGAUUGCACCAGAAGUGGCUAGUCUAACUACGGAGGACGGUCACCACGGUGUGGUUCAUGACUGGGGUGAAGUCGUAACAAGGUAACCGUA
rnacentral:rRNA from 1 species